rnacentral:rRNA from 1 species
CAGCAGUGGGGAAUAUUGCACAAUGGGGGAAACCCUGAUGCAGCGACGCCGCGUGGAGGAAGAAGGUCUUCGGAUUGUAAACUCCUGUUGUUGAGGAAGAUAAUGACGGUACUCAACAAGGAAGUGACGGCUAACUACGUGCCAGCAGCCGCGGUAAAACGUAGGUCACAAGCGUUGUCCGGAAUUACUGGGUGUAAAGGGAGCGCAGGCGGGAAGACAAGUUGGAAGUGAAAUCCAUGGGCUCAACCCAUGAACUGCUUUCAAAACUGUUUUUCUUGAGUAGUGCAGAGGUAGGCGGAAUUCCCGGUGUAGCGGUGGAAUGCGUAGAUAUCGGGAGGAACACCAGUGGCGAAGGCGGCCUACUGGGCACCAACUGACGCUGAGGCUCGAAAGUGUGGGUAGCAAACAGGAUUAGAUACCCUGGUAGUCCACACCGUAAACGAUGAUUACUAGGUGUUGGAGGAUUGACCCCUUCAGUGCCGCAGUUAACACAAUAAGUAAUCCACCUGGGGAGUACGACCGCAAGGUUGAAACUCAAAGGAAUUGACGGGGGCCCGCACAAGCAGUGGAGUAUGUGGUUUAAUUCGACGCAACGCGAAGAACCUUACCAAGUCUUGACAUCCUGCGACGGACAUAGAAAUAUGUUUUUCCUUCGGGACGCAGAGACAGGUGGUGCAUGGUUGUCGUCAGCUCGUGUCGUGAGAUGUUGGGUUAAGUCCCGCAACGAGCGCAACCC